GAUAACAUUAACUCUGGCUUUGGAGAAGGGACAUCCUGUUUACUUUCUCACCUCUCGGGGAUGGCAGGGUGCCAGAGUGGUGGUUGCAAAGUCUCUGCCCUUGUCCCUGCCCUGGCUCUUGUGGACUGUUCUGAGUCCUGAGAAGAAGGUGGGGGCUCUGUGUCUUUCUGGAUAGAGAAGAGACCUUCAGGGAAGUCACACAAGGGUGAAUAAAAACAAUCAAAAGAGGACCUGGAAAAAGAUUGCACAGCACAAGGAAGAAGAAAAUUGUUCUGAGAGUUGAGACAAAAUUACUUUCUACAAGAAACAGAAUAAAACUCACAGGCAUGUAUUGGAACUCUUAAAACAAACAGUACAGGAAGCUUUGAUGUGGUGGUUAUUUGCUGGGCCCUCCCAGGUGGGCGGGAGAUAUGAAUUGGCUGUUCAUAGAAACAGAAAUGCAAACAGCUCUCAAACUGUGUGAAAAGAUGCUUAGUCUCACCCAUAAAAGAAAUGCAAACCACAACUAAAUUGAGGCAUGACUUUCAUCUAUCACACUGGCAAAAAUCCAAACACUUGAUAUCAAGGAUUUGUGAGAUCGUGGAGAUUUGGCUUUGAAGAAUUCACACUUCACUCACUUUCAACAGCAACUUUCAACUGAGAUUUUUGCCUUUCAGCCCAGCAGUGCCCUAACUGGCUUAUGCCUGCUAACUGUCUUAUCUACAGAUCACCACAAACUAUCUGGUGAUCUUGGAAACUACUUAAGCCCUCUGACCUUUCUCCUCUGAAAGGUGGACAAUAAUAGAGACUAGUGAAAAGCAGGCAGGGCAUUAUAAUAAGUGACACAUUUUACUGUCUUUGGUAAUUUAAUAUAUAUGAACUUAAAUACA